CAGAGGAAUGCAGGACUACAGGAGUGCAGAGGAGUGUAGACACAGGAUGGAUCUUUGUGGCACUUACAGGUCAAGCAGAGAAGGCCAACCAAGGACAGCUGGAGAGUGGAACAGCAGAAUUAAAAGAGCUGAGUCAUCAUGGAAGCCAGAAACAAAAUGCCUCAGAAUAACAGGCUCCACCUGGAAUGCUAUUUCCUCUGACAAGUUUCCCAGAGCCCUGGACUGGUUAGACCCUCUGCUGGAGGAAACCUGCAUGCCGCCUCCCACAGCACCAUGUAAUCAUCACCUCUACCUCCAGACUCCAAACCCUCCAGAGCAGGUGCAAAGAAGGCGGGGCUGCACCCCAACCCGAUCCUGCGAGAAAGGAUGUGCGCUCCUCCUGCAGCCUGUUCUUAGCCCUCCCUCCUUGGGCUGUUGAUGGUUCCUCUCUCACUUGGUGGUUCAACAUUUCAGCUCUGUCUAGUUUAUCUGAAGAUCAUAACUGUUUUUAUCUGAUUUUGGAAAGAAAAUGAAAUGCUGACUUAGUGUCACUGUCGAUUCAAUGUAAAACUUCAAGGUUCUUAAAAC